rnacentral:misc_RNA from 1 species
GAUGAAGAACGUAGCGAAAUGCGAUAAGUAAUGUGAAUUGCAGAAUUCAGUGAAUCAUCGAAUCUUUGAACGCACAUUGCGCCCCUUGGUAUUCCGAGGGGCAUGCCUGUUCGAGCGUCAUAUUAACCACUCCCGCUUGCGGGGUCUUGGGCUUCGCCUCCGGGCGGGCCUUAAAAUCAGUGGCGGUGCCGUCGGGCUCUACGCGUAGUAAAUUUUCUCGCGAUAGGGUCCCGGUGGAUGCUUGCCAACAACCCCCAACUUCUUAAGGUUGACCUCGGAUCAGGUAGGGAUACCCACUGAACUUAAGCAUAUCAAUAAGCGGAGGA